rnacentral:tRNA from 1 species
GGGGAUUUAGCUCAGUGGUAGAGAGCGCUUGCCUAGGAAGCACAAGGCCCUGGUUCAAUCCCCA